rnacentral:rRNA from 1 species
UACAGAGGGUGCAAGCGUUAAUCGGAAUUACUGGGCGUAAAGCGUGCGCAGACGGUUGCGUAAGUCAGAUGUGAAAGCCCCGGGCUCAACCUGGGAAUUGCAUUUGAGACUGCCUAGCUAGGGUGCGGAAGAGGGAAGCGGGAAUUUCCGGUGUAGGCGGUGGAAAUGACGUAGAUAUCGGAAGGAACACCAGUGGCGAAAGCGGCUUCCUGGUCCAGCACCGACGUCAGGCACGAAAGCGUGGGGAGCAAACAGG